ACUCCUACGGGAGGCAGCAGUAGGGAAUAUUGGGCAAUGGGCGAAAGCCUGACCCAGCAACGCCGCGUGGGUGAUGAAGUCCUUCGGGAUGUAAAGCCCUUUUGUAUGGGAAGAAGUGGCGCGGGAACAAGACGCCCGCGUUUGACGGUACUGUACGAAUAAGCCCCGGCUAACUCCGUGCCAGCAGCCGCGGUAAUACGGGGGGGGCGAGCGUUGUUCGGAAUUACUGGGCGUAAAGGGCGCGUAGGCGGUCCGUUAAGUCGAAUGUGGAAGCCCACGGCUCAACCGUGGAAUUGCGUUCGGGACUGGCGGGCUAGAGUGCGGGAGAGGAGAGUGGAAUUCCCAGUGUAGCGGUGAAAUGCGUAGAUAUUGGGAGGAACACCGGUGGCGACGGCGGCUCUCUGGAACGCAACUGACGCUGAGGCGCGAAAGCGUGGGUAGCAAACAGGAUUAGAUACCCUGGUAGUC
rnacentral:rRNA from 1 species